rnacentral:lncRNA from 1 species
GAGCCUCAUCUGUGUUCCUCCCUUUCAACCUCCCCUUUGACCCCUGGAGCCUCAUCUCAUAGCUGAAAGUGAUAAGGUGUGGUAAGGAGAAGGGGCCAAGUAGCUGACUUCUGACCUCUGUCUCUCUGGUCCACAGUGGGAGGAUACCCUGGAUGGAUACUGUGAUCGGGAGCUGGCUAUAAAGACCCACCCCCACUCGUGCUGCCACUACCCUCCAAGUCCUGCCCGUGAUGAAUGUUUUGCCCACCUCGCUCCCUAUCCCAACUAUGACCGGGAUCUCUUGACCGUUGACCUUAGCCGAGUCACCCCCAACCUCAUGGACCAUCUCUGUGGAAACGGAAGAGUUCUCAGCAAGCAUAAACAGAUCCCUGGCCUGAUCCAGAACAUGACUGUCCGCUGCUGCGAGCUGCCAUACCCAGAACAGGCCUGCUGUGGUGAGGAGGAGAAACUGGCUUUCAUUGAGGAUCUCUGUGGUCCCCGGAGGAACUCCUGGAAAGAUCCUGCCCUCUGCUGU